AACUUGAUGGGGUAUAUAACCAGGCCCUGUGGAUAAGAUGGCUGUGCUUUCUGCCAAACCAAAGUGUAGAGCAACAACAGAUGGUGUAAGAAGCACACUCAACAAAUGCCUCAGUGGGGAUUUGCCUGAUCUUUCCGUCCUUCAGGUGACAGAGGUGUAUAAAGAUUUCUCUACAGCGGAGGUCACUGAUGAUCUGCAGCAUGGGCAUCAGCUGUGAAAUUCCCCUGGUUGACUCU